rnacentral:rRNA from 1 species
UAGGGAAUCUUCGGCAAUGGACGAAAGUCUGACCGAGCAACGCCGCGUGAGUGAAGAAGGUUUUCGGAUCGUAAAACUCUGUUGUUAGAGAAGAACAAGGACGUUAGCAACUGAACGUCCCCUGACGGUAUCUAACCAGAAAGCCACGGCUAACUACGUGCCAGCAGCCGCGGUAAUACGUAGGUGGCAAGCGUUGUCCGGAUUUAUUGGGCGUAAAGCGAGCGCAGGCGGGUUAUUAAGUCUGAUGUGAAAGCCCCCGGCUCAACCGGGGAGGGUCAUUGGAAGCUGGGAGACUUGAGUGCAGAAGAGGAGGGAGGAAUUCCAUGUGUAGCGGUGAAAUGCGUAGAUAUAUGGAGGGACACCAGUGGCGAAGGCGGCUCUCUGGUCUGUAACUGACGCUGAGGGUCGAAGGCGUGGGGAGCAAACAGG